AGAGCUUGCUUUUUAAGCUUAGUGGCGAACGGGUGAGUAACGCGUGAGUAACCUGCCCUAGAGUGGGGGACAACAGUUGGAAACGACUGCUAAUACCGCAUAAGCCCACGGUGCCGCAUGACACUGAGGGAAAAGGAUUUAUUCGCUUUAGGAUGGACUCGCGUCCAAUUAGCUAGUUGGUGAGGUAACGGCCCACCAAGGCGACGAUUGGUAGCCGGACUGAGAGGUUGAACGGCCACAUUGGGACUGAGACACGGCCCAGACUCCUACGGGAGGCAGCAGUGGGGGAUAUUGCACAAUGGGGGAAACCCUGAUGCAGCGACGCCGCGUGGAGGAAGAAGGUUUUCGGAUUGUAAACUCCUGUCGUUAGGGACGAUAAUGACGGUACCUAACAAGAAAGCACCGGCUAACUACGUGCCAGCAGCCGCGGUAAAACGUAGGGUGCAAGCGUUGUCCGGAAUUACUGGGUGUAAAGGGAGCGCAGGCGGGAAGACAAGUUGGAAGUGAAAACCAUGGGCUCAACCCAUGAAUUGCUUUCAAAACUGUUUUUCUUGAGUAGUGCAGAGGUAGAUGGAAUUCCCGGUGUAGCGGUGGAAUGCGUAGAUAUCGGGAGGAACACCAGUGGCGAAGGCGGUC
rnacentral:rRNA from 1 species